rnacentral:rRNA from 1 species
CAAUAGCGUAUAUUAAAGUUGUUGCAGUUAAAAAGCUCGUAGUUGGAUUUCGGGACGGGCCAGUUGGUCCGCCGCAAGGUGUGUUACUGACUGGUCUGUUCUUCUUCGCAAAGACUGCGUGUGCUCUUCGUUGAGUGUGCGUAGGAUUUACGACGUUUACUUUGAAAAAAUUAGAGUGUUCAAAGCAGGCUAUCGCUUGAAUACAUGAGGAUGGAAUAAUGGAAUAGGACUUUGGUCCUAUUUUGUUGGUUUCUAGGACCGAAGUAAUGAUUAAGAGGGACAAUUGGGGGCAUCCGUAUUUCGUUGUCAGAGGUGAAAUUCUUGGAUUUACGAAAGACGAACAACUGCGAAAGCACUUGCCAAGAGUGUUUUCAUUAA